GGCUUGUGUGGGUAUGUUGGAUCCCUGCUAGCGCAGCGACAACGUCACCCGCAUGCCUAUUCACUAGAUCGUCCGGUGUUGUUURCACCGGUUGUCUUGAGUUCGGUUGCCUGUGCAUCAUACCUAUCUCAAAGGUAUCGCGUUGCCUAAAAACRAAACAUUUUCGCCCGAAACURCAACCAUGGUUGCGGUUGAAGGUGGAACCAGAAGCACCCGUCGUGUUCCUCCCGUCCGCGUUCUMCGCGRCGGGCAUUGGCCCAUGACGGUGCGCUCGGAUUCUCGGAUACGGAAAAUUCGGUGGGUACGAGGAUGCACGUCCUUAAUCUACCCAACAAAGAAGCCCUCGACGCUUCGUGCGACAGACGAUCUUCCGCGUCCUUGGCUGGGUCUCGCACUCGGUCCAUGCGUGGUCGACGUCGAAGAGGAAUGCUACCUGGUUGAUCCUGCCAGUAGUCAUAU
rnacentral:misc_RNA from 2 species